rnacentral:lncRNA from 1 species
AAGAUUGACCAAAGAGUGCAUGAGAUAUAUUAUCUAUAGCCGUCAAAACGUAGAUAAUACACUCGCAUGGAAGAUUAUCCAUAACCGGGUUGCAGGUUGUUAAAUGAAUAAUCGACCGAAAAGAAAGGCAUCAGGGUACCAGGACUAGGCAUGCAAAAGAUGACCAAUCAAAAGAGGAUAACGUUGCUAACUCGGAGCAAAUACCCAAAAGAAAGGGAAGACCCAAUGGGGACAAUACUGCUUGAUCAAGGCAAGUAUCCAAAGGGGAAAAGAGUAUCACUACCGCAAAGAGGGGAUUACAUCUACCGGUUUGUAGGCAGAAAACCACAGAAAAGUAACCAGUCAUCGACCAGGAUGAGCACAAAGGGUUAACUCUGCUAGGGGAUGAAAGUGGGAUUUUACGACUACCAGCCAGUAGGUAGAAAACCACAAAGAUAGGACUUACAACUACCGGUUCGUUGGUAGAAGCCACAAACAG